ensembl:lncRNA
GGGAGUGUCCCUGCACUCUUUUCCCCCUUCAAGCCCUAGAAGGGGGUGUUGGCUUGGGGAGGGGCUGGAGUCCUGAGGGCCCUCAACAAAAGCUCAAAUGUAAGAGUAAUUCAGUGCCUGAACAUGUUGUCCCUGACGUGAUGUGAUAUGAAUUUAACGAGCAUGAUGCUGUGCUCCCAGACGAGGAGGGGACCCGUGACCAGGAGUCAGGGAGAGACGGCGGGGGAACCGGCAGGAACCCCUGUAGUGAAGGGAACCCCCCAGAGAACCCCCUCAAACUACAGAGUCACCCCUUCGGCGGCAACGUAGAGACGGUGGACGGCGUGGGGUUCUGCGCCUGGCCCAGAUCCCAUGAUCUGAGUCACUGAUGUUGUGUUUUUUAGUUUUUUGGGAGGUUGGCGGAGACGCUCCUGGGAAUUCAAGAACAAUUCAAUCUAGACAGGAAGGCAGACUGUGACAGCCUGUUUCCAGCUAUGUUUCUUGCUCUCAGUGUCGUUUGACAUUUUCAUUUGUUUUUCUGAUAGUAAUAUCUGAUGGUGAGGAUCUGGGGCCACAUGAAACUAAUCCAGUCAUGACUGCGACAGUAAAUACACAGACCUGUAUAAACCAUGUGUUGAGGAAGAGGAUGAGGAGUUGGUUGCAGUUGAGUUUACAACACACACCAACUAACCAACACACUAACUAAGCUAUUGCCUGUGGCAUUCCAGUUUUUCCUCUACAAUAUUUCUCGUGUUUAAAUACUUUUUGUAAAAGUAGCAAAUUGAUGUCUGUCUCUGCUUUCCCUGUCUUGUGCACGUCUAAAAGUGCUCAAGCCACCCUGCCCUCUGCGUCAUUCCAGUCUUGCUACGUGCAAAGCAAGACAUGGGAUUCUUUAGAUCAACACAAAAAAAUGGUGGAUUUAGGUGGAUGGUAUUUUUAGAGAAUAUUUAAUCGUUUUCUUUAGGU